GUCUCUUCUGCUACCUCCUCUUUUUCUCGACGGCGUUACUAACGUCUAUAAUGCCUCCAAAUCAAUUAGCCCCACUACGUGUUAUUGAAUGUCAAGCUGUAAUGGAAAUUUACCAAAGUCAAACUUUCUGAUCUGAAGGCUGGCCGUUGUAAGGAGGUUUGGGUGUCCCUCUGCUUCAAUUCUGUGAAGCUCGAAUCUGAAGAAAGGAGGCAAGCUUAUUGGAGUUGACAUGGUGUUGUUGGACCAGAAGCUACUAAAAACUUGCUGUUCAACCUUGAUUCAAGGCUCCAUUGCCUCACACCGGUUUAACAGUUUCGAGAAUCUACUGAGGGAAGGAGGAGUGUAUGAGCUCAGUGUUUUUGAUGUUGCUAGAAGUAACAACCAUUUCAACGGUCUGUGUUCGAUUCACCGAGCAUACCAAAUUUUGUCGAGUUGAGGAAUCCCACGACUUGCAUUCCAACUGAGAUGCUCUGGUCUCGCAAGUAUGAACAGAUGACUCUGGCUGACGGCUCUAGCUGACAGCAACGUCUACUUGUCA